UCUGGAGGUUCCUGGAGAGCAGACCAGAAGGGAGGACCCGCGGAGACCACCUGCCUCAAACUGCCCAUUUUACAGGUAGAGAACGCGGCCCAGAAGGCCGACGAUCACAGAGGGCAGCUGUUCAUGAAGCUGAUGGCUGCUUGCUCCAGGUCACAGAGCACAGCCGUGGAGUAAAUACAGCACAGCCCACAGCAUGCAGAGCCAUCCUCCCGUCAGAGACUCCCUCCCGCAUCGCCCGGGGUUUGGCUGCGAUGACCACACCUGCAGUGGACAUUCGCAUGCAGGCUCCGUGGUGUGGACCUGUGUGCGUUCCUCCCGGGUGGCACGGUCCCUCAACACUGGGAAGCGGUGCAGAGCCCUGGACACCUGCCAGGAAGGGGGACUGGAAUCCGUCACAUCUGUGGCCUCUGGGCUCACAUAGGGACCCAGCCGCAUCCCUGGUGUCCUGGGCCUUGAUUCCGUCUUCGUCCAGUGAGAAGAACGCGCUCCUUCCUGCUGACCUGCGGGAUUGGAAAUGCAAGUUAAAUGCUGUUGUAUGCAAACGUUGUCUGUGUAAUUAGUAAUAGAUGGCCAGUGGGCAAGUUCUUUUCAGUGGGUGAAUUAUUUCAACCAUCACACCCAACCUGCAACCUCGGGCCACACUGGUCCAGGAAUGAGCUACUAAGAGUUUAUGAUAAAUAUGUCUAAAAAUCGAGAAGCCCAGUAGCAAUUUGGCAGGAUCAUUGUGUCUCUUGAAUCUCAUACUAAA
rnacentral:lncRNA from 1 species